rnacentral:rRNA from 1 species
UACGGAGGGGGCAAGCGUUGUUCGGAAUUACUGGGCGUAAAGGGCGCGCAGGCGGCUGCUCAAGUCAGGCGUGAAAGGCCUGGGCUCAACCCGGGAAUUGCGCUUGAGACUGGGCUGGCUUGAGUGCGGGAGAGGAUGGUGGAAUUCCCAGUGUAGAGGUGAAAUUCGUAGAUAUUGGGAGGAACACCUGUGGCGAAAGCGGCGCACUGGACCACAACUGACGCUGAGGCGCGAAAGCUAGGGGAGCAAACAGG